UUUGAUGGAGCCGAGGCGGACGGGGCGGUCGGCGGGGCGGUCCUGGCCGUAGGUGGCGAGCAGGGCCUGUGCCUC
rnacentral:antisense_RNA from 1 species